GAAAUAAUAAUAUCGAAUGAUAAAUAAAAAAAUGUUUUUUUAAUUAAAGGAAAUAUUUAUAAUAAAUAUUUGUUAAUGUAAAGUGUUCUUGUGCAUUAAAAAGUGAAAUAUUUGGAUUUAAAAUGGAAACCAUAAUAAAAACGGGAUUUCAAUCAAUAACCCACGAAAUUCAGUUCCAGCCACAGACAUUGGUAAAA
rnacentral:lncRNA from 1 species